rnacentral:rRNA from 1 species
AUUGAACGCUGGCGGCGUGCCUAACACAUGCAAGUCGAGCGGUAACAGGUGUAGCAAUACAUGCUGACGAGCGGCGAACGGGUGAGUAAUGCUUCGGAAUCUGCCCAUGUAGUGGGGAAUAACCAGCCGAAAGGUUGGCUAAUACCGCAUACGACCCUUGCCCACAAGGCAAAGGUGAAAGCAGGGGAUCGCAAGACCUUGCGCUAUUGGAUGAGCCGAAGUCGGAUUAGCUAGUUGGUAGGGUAACGGCCUACCAAGGCGACGAUCCGUAGCUGGUCUGAGAGGACGACCAGCCACACUGGGACUGAGACACGGCCCAGACUCCUACGGGAGGCAGCAGUGGGGAAUAUUGGACAAUGGGGCAACCCUGAUCCAGCGACGCCGCGUGUGUGAAG